GUGGGGAAUAUUGCACAAUGGGGGAAACCCUGAUGCAGCGACGCCGCGUGGAGGAUGACGGCCUUCGGGUUGUAAACUCCUUUUGUCAGGGACAAUGGUGAUGGUACCUGACGAAUAAGCCACGGCUAACUCUGUGCCAGCAGCCGCGGUAAGACAGAGGUGGCGAGCGUUGUUCGGAAUUACUGGGCUUAAAGGGCGCGUAGGCGGUGGUGUAAGUCUGGGGUGGAAUGCUACAGCUCAACUGUAGAGCUGCCUUGGAAACUGCAUUACUUGAGUCGGUGAGGGGAAGGCGGAAUUCCUGGUGUAGCGGUGAAAUGCGUAGAUAUCAGGAGGAAGGUCUGUGGCGAAGGCGGCCUUCUGGCACUUGACUGACGCUGAGGCGCGAAAGCGUGGGGAGCAAACGGGAUUAGAAACCCGGGUAGUCC
rnacentral:rRNA from 1 species